rnacentral:rRNA from 1 species
UACGUAGGGUGCGAGCGUUGUCCGGAAUUACUGGGCGUAAAGAGCUCGUAGGUGGUUUGUCGCGUUGUUCGUGAAAACUCACAGCUUAACUGUGGGCGUGCGGGCGAUACGGGCAGACUGGAGUACUGCAGGGGAGACUGGAAUUCCUGGUGUAGCGGUGGAAUGCACAGAUAUCAGGAGGAACACCGGUGGCGAAGGCGGGUCUCUGGGCAGUAACUGACGCUGAGGAGCGAAAGCGUGGGGAGCGAACAGG